AACGAACGCUGGCGGCAUGCCUAACACAUGCAAGUCGAACGAGACCUUCGGGUCUAGUGGCGCACGGGUGCGUAACGCGUGGGAACCUGCCCUUAGGUUCGGAAUAACUCCCCGAAAGGGGUGCUAAUACCGGCUAAUGUCUUCGGACCAAAGAUUUAUCGCCUUUGGAUGGGCCCGCGUUGGAUUAGCUAGUUGGUAGGGUAAAAGCCUACCAAGGCGACGAUCCAUAGCUGGUCUGAGAGCAUGAUCAGCCACACUGGGACUGAGACACGGCCCAGACUGCUACGGGAGGCAGCAGUGGGGAAUAGUGGACAAGGGGCGAAAGCCUGAUCCAGCAAUGCCGCGUGAGUGAGGAAGGCCUUAGGGUUGUAAAGCUCUUUUACCCGGGAUGAUAAUGACAGUACCGGGAGAAUAAGCUCCGGCUAACUCCGUG
rnacentral:rRNA from 1 species